GAUGAACGCUGGCGGCGUGCCUAAUACAUGCAAGUCGAGCGAACAGACGAGGAGCUUGCUCCUCUGACGUUAGCGGCGGACGGGUGAGUAACACGUGGAUAACCUACCUAUAAGACUGGGAUAACUUCGGGAAACCGGAGCUAAUACCGGAUAAUAUAUUGAACCGCAUGGUUCAAUAGUGAAAGACGGUUUUGCUGUCACUUAUAGAUGGAUCCGCGCCGCAUUAGCUAGUUGGUAAGGUAACGGCUUACCAAGGCAACGAUGCGUAGCCGACCUGAGAGGGGGUACGCCCCAACGGGAACGAGAAACGGUUCAGAACCCUAAGGGAGGCAAGAGGAGGGAAUCCUCCGGAAUGGGGGAAAGCCCGACGGGGCAAAGCCGGGGGGGGGAAGAAAGUCUUUGGGUUCGAAAAACUUUUUUUUUGGGAAAAAAAAAAGGGGAAAUAAAUAUGCCCGGUUUGAACGGAACUAAUCAAAAAAGCCCCGGUAAACUACGG
rnacentral:rRNA from 1 species